rnacentral:rRNA from 1 species
GACGAACGCUGGCGGCGUGCUUAACACAUGCAAGUCGAACGUAGUGGCGAACGGGUGAGUAACACUUUAGCAACCUACCUUACCCAGGGGGAUAGCCGGUGGAAACGCCGAUUAAUACCGCAUGUUGUAAGGUGGGCUCGAGUCUGAUUAGCUAGUGGGAAGGGUAAAGGACUAACGAGGCGACGAGUAGUAGACGGUCUGGGAGGAUGACCCGGAAGCUUGGAGCUGAUACAAGGUCCAACAUUCUACGGAGGGAAGCAGUGGGGAAUAUGGCACAAUGGGGGAAACACUGAGGCAGCGACGGCGCGUGAGCGAAGAAGGUUUUAGAAUCGUAAAGCGCUGGCCUAUGAAGAGCGGUAUCAUAGGAGGAAGCCCCGGCUAAAUACGUGCCAGCCGCCGCGGUAAUAC